UGAGAGAGAAAACCAAAGGCAUCCUGAACGCAAGCAACCUCCCGGUCUAGUCCCGAAGAAGACCUAUUUGUUCCUCCGAUGCUCCCACGCUUUCUGCAGCCUUCGUCCGCCAUUGUUGGGUUCUUCGUGCCCACCUCCGCCCCUCACUUCUCCUACUCCCUCCGUAGUCUUCAUUUUUCCUCUCACUUUCUUGGUCUCUCAUCUUCCACCUCUGGUGCCAACGUCCAGCAGCAGCAUCGUCAAGAAGAGCAUGGACAUGGCGUUUCCUCGAAAUUGGGACCUGUAAAAUCUGGUUUAUACCUAGUUGCAACGCCAAUUGGAAAUCUUGAAGAUAUCACCUUACGGGCAUUGCGCAUUCUUAAAUCUGCAGAUUUAAUACUUUCUGAAGACACAAGACAUUCUAGGAAGUUGCUUCUGUACUAUGGAAUUACAACUCCACUUCUUAGUUAUCAUAAAUUCAAUGAGUCUGAACGUGAACGUUCGAUAUUACAAAAGCUUCGACUAGGUGAAGUCAUUGCACUAAUUAGUGAUGCUGGUACCCCAUGCAUCAGUGAUCCUGGUAUGGAACUGGCAAAGGUAUGUGUGAAAGAAAAUAUACCUGUUGUUCCUAUCCCCGGGCCAUCAGCUUUAGUUUGUGCUCUUUCAGCUUGUGGCUUGUCUACUGAUGAAUUCAAAUUUGUUGGAUUUCUAUCCAAGCAUGCACGGACAAGAAGAGAAAAACUUAAAGUUUCUGCUGCUGAUACUGCAACACAAAUAUUCUUUGUACCUCCCCAUAAGCUUCAUCAAUUUCUUGAGGAAGCGUCCCUAAUUUUUGGAGAUGCAAGGUCAUGUGUUAUUGCACGGGAAAUGACAAAAAUUCAUGAAGAGGUAUUUGAUGUCCACCAUGUAUCGAGGUGGAUCUGUUCUUGUUUUGGCGAGGCACAUUGGGUGAAGCAAACAAGAUAUGCUCAACUCAGCAGCCAAAGGGAGAAAUAACACUUUUGAUUGAGGGAAAGAUGGCUUCUGAUGAGAAUGAGUUAACUGAUGACCAACUUGAGCUUGAACUUAAAGAACUUAUUUCAAAAGGCCAUAGUCUUUCCGUGGCGGUGAAAUUGGUUACCGGGGGCAUAUCAGCAAGAAGGAAACAUGUCUAUGCACUUGCACUGAAGUUGUUCGGAAAGCAAGCAGCAGGGAUGGAUGAUGAUUCAGUUCAGGAUCUAUAAGUAUGGUAAAUCCUUGACACCCUUCUCCCUAACUACAGGCACAUCCUCUGUAUCAAUGUGAAUUGUUGCAAAUCUUUGAUAGCUAUUUUUAGUUAUUCUAAUUCUUGAUAUGCAUAAGCAGUAUAAUUUCUCAUAAAUAUUUAUUUGAUAUCAGUCUUUACCUCCUUCA